rnacentral:tRNA from 1 species
GCCAGCCUGGCAUAGUGGUUUGAGUGUUGGACUGCGACUCUGCAGACCAGGGUUCGAAUCCCCAUUUGGAUA